UACGAAGGGGGCUAGCGUUGCUCGGAAUUACUGGGCGUAAAGCGCACGUAGGCGGAUCUUUAAGUCAGGGGUGAAAUCCUGGAGCUCAACUCCAGAACUGCCUUUGAUACUGAGGACCUUGAGUUCGGGAGAGGUGAGUGGAACUGCGAGUGUAGAGGUGAAAUUCGUAGAUAUUCGCAAGAACACCAGCGGCGAAGGCAGCGGGUUGGCGCUUUAUUGACGCUCAGGCACGAAAGCAUGGGGAUCAAACAGG
rnacentral:rRNA from 1 species